UGGGGAAUUUUGGACAAUGGGGGCAACCCUGAUCCAGCCAUCCCGCGUGUGCGAUGAAGGCCUUCGGGUUGUAAAGCACUUUUGGCAGGGAAGAAACAGCCUGGGCUAAUAUCCCGGGCGACUGACGGUACCUGCAGAAUAAGCACCGGCUAACUACGUGCCAGCAGCCGCGGUAAUACGUAGGGUGCAAGCGUUAAUCGGAAUUACUGGGCGUAAAGCGUGCGCAGGCGGUUCGGAAAGAAAGGUGUGAAAUCCCAGGGCUUAACCUUGGAACUGCACUUUUAACUACCGGGCUAGAGUACGUCAGAGGGGGGUAGAAUUCCACGUGUAGCAGUGAAAUGCGUAGAGAUGUGGAGGAAUACCGAUGGCGAAGGCAGCCCCCUGGGAUGAUACUGACGCUCAUGCACGAAAGCGUGGGGAGCAAAC
rnacentral:rRNA from 1 species